rnacentral:tRNA from 2 species
UCCCCGAUAGCUCAGCUGGUAGAGCAAAUGACUGUUAAUCAUUGGGUCGCAGGUUCGAGUCCUGCUCGGGGAG